UUGAUUACAUGGUCUUGAAAUAUAAAUGAAAUUUAAUUGAGAACUUACAUAAAAAAAAAUCCAAUUUUAAAUCUUUUGUAACAAAAAUAGCUCCAACAUAGUCAGCAAUAACAAUAGUCCCAUAGGUAAUUUAAUAUUAAUUGGUUUAAUUUUGAAAAACUUAGUGAAAACAUUAAAAUUAUUACAUACUCGACCAGUUGCUCCAUAAUCCUUGUGAUAAUUAUUGAUAACAAUUAAAGAAGGUUUACCUAUGGACUUGUCAGCUAGGGUUAAACCAAUUUGGGAAGUGGAAACUAUGUGAUUGGCGGCAUGAUUAGUCCACAAAUUAGCCCGAUGUAUUAGGUUUAGAAUUCAUUUGAUCUAAUCUUGAGUGAAUGGAGCUUGUUGGCUGCCAUAGUCACCAACUUCCUCAUUUUUGGUGUUUUCUUAUUCACUAUACAUAUUAUUGGCAGGAUUACCAUUCUUGAAUUUGAAAUAAGGUGGAAACCCAUGCUUUUUGUAACAAAUGUCAAUAGUAUGACCAAGUUUACCACAAUGAGUGCAGAGAACUAAAGAGAUGACUCUAUUCAGAUUUGGCAUAGGCUUCAUGACCAAUACUUGAAUUUUAACCACAUCAAAACUUUCAUUUAAACUAGUUAAAAAGGUGACCACCCUAUCUUCUUUGACAUAGGUUGUGGAGCCACAACUACAUGGUGGUAUAGGGAGAAAAUUAUCCAAUUCUUCCCACAAAAUAGUUAAAGCAGUAAAAAAAUCUGAAACAUUAAUAUUACCUUGUUUAAUUAAGUGAUUUUCCUUUUGCAAUUUUGAAACUCUGAUUAGACCCCUUUGUGAAAACCUUGCCUUUAAAUCAAUCUAGGCUGUGUUGGCACUAUCUUUAAAGGCAAGACUCUGGCUAUUGAUGGUGAAUCUGAAUAGAUGACCCAUUGAAAAACCAAACUAUUGCAUUAUAGUAAGUACUUGUAAGCUGGCUCAAAAUCACUUGGCAUGGGCAAAGAUUCAUCAAGAAACUCCAUGGUAUUCUUUCCCACAAUUGCUCUAGUCAUCGAAUAAGCCCAAGAAUUGUAAUUGGUUCCAUUAAGUACUAGAGUAACAGUGAUAUAAGAAGGACCCUUACUUGGGUGAAUGUAAUAUGGAUUGUUAGUGUUUUGUUUGGAAUCAAGAUUGACAUUGUUGUUGUUA